rnacentral:rRNA from 1 species
AGAGUUUGAUCAUGGCUCAGGGUGAACGCUGGCGGCGCGCCUAAUGCAUGCAAGUCGAGCGUGCCCUGGUGGCUUCGGCCAUCAGGGAAAGCGGCAGACGGCUGAGUAACGCGUGAGUAACCUACCCUCUGGUGGGGUAUAGCCGCGAGAAAUCGCGGUUAAUCCCGCAUAAGAUCUCCAGGCCUUGGUUUGGAGAUGAAAGCCUUCGGGCGCCGGAGGAGGGGCUCGCGUCCUAUCAGGUAGUUGGUGAGGUAACGGCCCACCAAGCCGAUGACGGGUAGCUGGUCUUAGAGGACGACCAGCCAGAGGGGGACUGAGACACGGCCCCCACUCCUACGGGAGGCAGCAGCAGGGAAUCUUGGGCAAUGGGCGAAAGCCUGACCCAGCGACGUCGCGUGGAGGAAGAAGGCCUUCGGGCUGUAAACUCCUUUUCCAAGGGAAGAGUAAGGACGGUACCUUGGGAAUAAGCUCCGGCUAACUACGUGCCAGCAGCCGCGGUAAUACGGAGGGGGCUAGUGUUGUUCGGAAUUACUGGGCGUAAAGGGCGCGCAGGCGGCUUGGCAAGUCGAGUGUGAAAUCCCUUGGCUUAACUGAGGAAUGGCGCUCGAAACUACCUCGCUGGAGGGCGGGAGAGGGAAGUGGAACUCUCGGUGUAGGGGUGAAAUCUGUAGAUAUCGAGAGGAACACCGGUGGCGAAGGCGGCUUCCUGGCCCGUACCUGACGCUGAGGCGCGAAAGCGUGGGGAGCAAACAGGAUUAGAUACCCCAGUAGUCC